GUCCCCUGGAGCCCCACAGACACGCAUCAGGGCAAGUUCUCCUUGCAUUUCCAGGAGGCUCCGGCCCCUCUCAGUUCCCAGUUCCAGCGUGUGACGACGGAUUUCCUACGCUGACCUCACGCUCGCUGCGCCCAGGAGUAAAGGUUCAUGAACUAAUCGCUGCAGCUGCAGCAGCGUGAGAAAGCAGGCGUGGGCGAGGAUGCGCGGACAGCCACUGAGUAGGGAGCCUUCCGCCGACUCUGUUGGAGUCACGCUGUCCGUGUUUCAUCUACUUAAUUUUCAUGGAGACCCUAUCAGGCAGAUUGGAGAGUGCCUACCCCCGGGACCUCAUUUAACUUUAACCACAUCUUCGAAGAUUCUAUCUCCAAAUACAGCCACAUGCUGAGUUCAGAGUAUCAGCAAAAAAAAGGACCCUCCCCCGCAUUCCCUGCCAGCUGCACAUGCUCUGCUGUGAUUGGUCAAAGGCUUCCCAGGAGCUCAGAGCCCUGGGGCCCGAGGAGCAGCCCCACACCCCGCGUCCGGUAUUCCCUGAUAGUCCCGUCCUCCCCAGAGCCACUCUCCUUCCAUCCACAGUGUCCGAGCUCAGAGCUCCUCUGUGGUCCCCCUGUUUGUGAAAGCAAGUUCAUCCUCCUCGGCACAACAGCCCAAGUCCCCUGCCUGUGUCCCGACUAGGAGCAUGGACCUAGGGAACAAAUUGAUUAAACUCCAAUUCUUUCUCUAA